CUCUCAGGCACAUACUCCCAGGAACUGUGUGCCAGUCGGCUCCAUUGAUGACGUUGCCAUGCAAGGAGAAGUCCUGGCUAUGACAAGGUCGGCGGUCGGUAUCCUGCAUGGCCCUAUUCGUGCCAGCAUAGACAGUGCUGAGCCAGCGGAAGACAGCAUCAUCUGGUGUGGGAGUGAGUUCACGAGCAGCCCACGGAGUCCGAGUCAUGUCGAAAGGAUAGGACACCACAAGCUCGCCCCCAUGGAGGUUGGCACUCAGCACAAACGGGAUGCGCUUCAUCCAUUUGAUCACUGCCCACGUUUCAGGAGCCACCUAAACGAGGGGAAGAGAGGAUGAUCUGCACACAGAGACAAGGGGGCCUUAGGUGGCCUUCUACCAGUGACCCAGUAUACUCACGGUGGCAUUGGGCAAUGUAUAGUAGGUAGGCAGUGGCAGGUGAUGGUUGGGGACAGUGUCGGGUACCAGUCCAUCAUCCUCUGCAUACCACAGUUGUGUGUUGAGGUCAGCAAAAUUGUGGUUAAGGUCAAUGCCCUGGUGGGUCCAGCGGCCCUCUGCCCAGCCCACCAGCUCUGAGCCCUGCCAAGAAAGGGCCUUGUCAAAGUCAAGCAGGCUCUGGGUACCAUACAGAAGAGACAGGAAGGCCCCCAUGCCAGGUGGCCUACCCUGUGGUAGGCAGUCUCAUAGCCAUCAGGAUUCAUGGAGGGCAAUAGAUGGAUUCGUGUCUCAGUGAGCAGCCGAGUCACUCUCGGGUCCCCUCGCAGGAACUCAUGGCAUAAGAACUGCAUCAAAAGCAGAAGCAACUCCCGCCCCAGGGCCUCAUUCCCAUGCAUUCCAGCCACGUAGCGGACCUCGGGCUCGCCUGAAAACACACGGAAGCUUAGAGUCAGCUCGCACCAGCGUCUGCCCUGUGCCCACCUCUUCCCAUGCCACCAAACAGUACCCAGCUCAUGCUCCCCAGGAUGGUCUGACAUUUCCAUCACAUACAGCUUCAAACCCUGGUGGCUCUUCCCGAUGCUGUAGAUGCGCGUGAUGUUGGGGCACUGCUCAUUCACCUGUUUCAUCAGCUGGGAAGCAGAGAGGAGCACGAGGCGGUUACACACAGACCAUGUGUAACCAUGGAAAGACUUACAGAUCCACACAGAUGGGAGCAAUAUAGUAUGAUCCAGAAAAAGGCACAGGAGUUGGGGGUGGGGGUGGGGGCAGAAAAGGUGUCAUGACAAGGUAACUGGAACAGAACUUAAGAGAUUGAGAGAAGUAGAAGAAAGGGGACACAAAGACAGGGGACUCAUGGGUAGUCAUAGACAGUUUGCCCUGGUAGGAAGGAGAUAGGCAGACCUCCUUCCAGGGUCAGAGAAGUCAUAUCUGACCUUUCUCAUAGCUUUAUAAUUGUGAUGCCGGAAGUCCAAAGAGUUCGAAGAUCCCAGUGUGUGGGCCUCAGGGAACAGGUCAUUAGGAUCUGGUGGCAAGUGAGUUCCAGAUAAAAGGUCAGUACCUAGUGAAGAAUGUCCCUCGAACCAGGCCCUGCCCAUACAGCCUUUGCCCAGCUGCCCACCUGAGACUGGGCAGGCCAGGAUCUCUGCCCGGAGGCAAGGUGCACCUCCCUGAAACCAGGUCUGAGGCAGCAGGCGAAUGAAUCGAGCCACCUGAGGCUCUGGCAGAAGGUUCAACACUGGGGUCUCUGCGUCUGAAUUGGCAGGAAAUACCUGGAGAUAUGGAAUGCCUUGUUGAAGCUGCUCAGACCCGAUGCUGGCUCAAGAUCGGGGGAAAGGAAUUAAGGCUCUCAUACUCACAAGCCAGCCCUCCCUGGUAGAUACAACUGGAGACAUGCACUGUGUUAAACAUGGACCCCCAUUUCCACAGCUCCUGCCAGCGGGCAACCUUGGGCAGCUGUGUUUUCUGGCAUAGUCUCCGCUCGUUAAAACAAUAUACCCAUUCUGGAGUAUUGUACCAAGGAGGCCCAUGAGAUGGAAAACCAGAGCCAUGAACAGGCAAGAAGCAAAUAACCCCGAGGCUCACAGUCAGAAGGGAUGUCCCAGAAAGAAGAUGCAGCACCUACGCCAUGGUGGAAUUAAUGGGGCUAUCCCAAAGGAGCUAGUGCUUGGUCUGGCUGUCAUUGCUGAACUGGACCUUGAAUGAUGUGACCCAGUCAUACCUGGCCGCAGAGAUAGAGAAACAUUAGUGACCCUGAAGAGCCACUAAAGUGGUGGCACUUCCAAGUCUGAUCACUAACAACUUCCAGGCUAAGCGUGAGCCUCACCUCCACACAGAGUUUCUGCCCUGUGUAACAAUUCCUGCGAAGCGGACGGGAUUCUUUGCAUCCACCUGAAGCCAAGGUUCAGUGUCUUGUUGCUCAGCGCACCAAGCGCCAUCAUACAGGUCACCGUCCUCCAGACCUGACUGUGGACACAAGGUCACGGUGAUCAAGCCCAGACCUGGCUGAGCAAGGGCCACUGACCUGGAUAUUGAGCCGUCCUCGGUGUGCUCCAAGACCAAAGGACUGGCUGCUGGAGGCCUCCAGCUGGCUAUCUGAAACCCUCAAGGACUCCAAGCCUAGAGGGGGACAUCCUGGGGGCGAGCUGGAGGACCCAGCUGGGGGAGUGGGUCUGACCUGCCCAGCAGCCGACCAUGGGACCCAGAGCUCACCAUUUGCCUUUGUGGACGGCUGUGCAACGCUGCUGUGUGGAGCCAGGGUUGAGCCCGGCGCCAGGCCCGGCACUGAGGCGCUGGGAGCCCCCAGCCCCAGACCGACGGAAGGCGCAAAGGCGGUCACUGCGAGCAAGAGACCCCACAUAGCGGGAAGGGUCGACGAGCGCGCUGUGCCGAGGUUCUUGGUGGGUUCUCU
rnacentral:lncRNA from 1 species